rnacentral:lncRNA from 1 species
GUGGAUGCAAACCUGCAGAAACUCACCCAGCUUGUAAAUAAGGAGUCCAACCUAAUUGAGAAGAUGGAUGGCAACCUCCGCCAGAGCCCUCAGCUUCUUCCUCGGAAGCUGCCAACCCUCAAGCUGACCCCAGCAGAAGAAGAGAGUAACUCCUCACAGCUGCUGUCGCCCUGACAGUCACAGCCAGAGUCUUGGUGACUGUGGGAGUAGCUGCUGGGGCCAAGUGUACGGAGACCCGAAGAACACAGUAAUGGGUUUAAGACUAAAGCAGAGGGAGCUGUGUGCGACCAUUUUAAAUUAUGAAAGCUGUGAUUUUAGCCGGGCAGUGCAUUUUAAAUAGAGGCGAAUGCUAAGUGACCUGGGGGGCAAGCGCGAGGCACUGUGUAUGAAACCCCGCCUUAACCGGGGCCGGCCUUUGCCUUUGGGUCAGGUGUUGCGGACCAAAGCUGCAAUGCUUUUCUGAAUGUGCGCUUUUUAAUUUAUUUAAGUUAAUUUAUUAACUUAGUUUUUCUUAGACUGUCUCAGUACAUAAUAUGUGGUAUUUGGCUGAGAUCUUA